UAGUAACGGCGAGUGAAGCGGCAACAGCUCAAAUUUGAAAUCUGGCCCUCGGGUCCGAGUUGUAAUUUGUAGAGGAUGCUUUUGGCGCGGUGCCUUCCGAGUUCCCUGGAACGGGACGCCUUAGAGGGUGAGAGCCCCGUACGGUUGGACACCAAGCCUCUGUAAAGCUCCUUCGACGAGUCGAGUAGUUUGGGAAUGCUGCUCUAAAUGGGAGGUAAAUUUCUUCUAAAGCUAAAUAUUGGCCAGAGACCGAUAGCGCACAAGUAGAGUGAUCGAAAGAUGAAAAGCACUUUGAAAAGAGGGUUAAAUAGCACGUGAAAUUGUUGAAAGGGAAGCGUUUGCGACCAGACCUCCUCCUGGCGGAUCAUCCGGUGUUCUCACCGGUGCACUUCGCCAGGUCGAGGCCAGCAUCGGUUUCCGCAGGGGGAUAAAAGCUCUGGGAACGUAGCUCCUCCGGGAGUGUUAUAGCCCUCUGCACAAUACCCUUGCGGGGACCGAGGACCGCGCUUUAUGCAAGGAUGCUGGCGUAAUGGUCGUCAACGACCCGUCUUGAAACACGGACCAAGGAGUCGAACAUUUAUGCGAGUGUUUGGGUGUCAAACCCUCACGCGUAAUGAAGGUGAACGUAGGUGAGAGCCCUUACGGGUGCAUCAUCGACCGAUCCUGAUGUCUUCGGAUGGAUUUGAGUAAGAGCAUAGCUGUUCGGACCCGAAAGAUGGUGAACUAUGCGUGGAUAGGGUGAAGCCAGAGGAAACUCUGGUGGAGGCUCGCAGCGGUUCUGACGUGCAAAUCGAUCGUCAAAUCUGCGCAUGGGGGCGAAAGACUUAUCGAACCAUCUAGUAGCUGGUUACCGCCGAAGUUUCCCUCAGGAUAGCAGUGUUGUUCUUCAGUUUUAUGAGGUAAAGCGAAUGAUUAGGGACCCGGGGGCGCUUUUUAGCCUUCAUCCAUUCUCAAACUUUAAAUAUGUAAGAAGCCCUUGUUACUUAGUUGAACGUGGGCAUUCGAAUGUACCAACACUAGUGGGCCAUUUUUGGUAAGCAGAACUGGCGAUGCGGGAUGAACCGAACGCGGGGUUAAGGUGCCGGAGUGGACGCUCAUCAGACACCACAAAAGGUGUUAGCACAUUUAGACAAUAGGACGGUGGCCAUGGAAGUCGGAAUCCGCUAAGGACUGUGUAACAACUCACCUAUCGAAUGUGCUAGCCCUGAAAAUGGAUGGCGCUCAAGCGUCCCACCCAUACCUCGCCCUCAGGGUAGAAACGAUGCCCUGAGGAGUAGGCGGCCGUGGAGGUCAGUGACG
rnacentral:rRNA from 1 species